GGCCUAGCGUGGAUGUCUGUGGUGCUGUUCAAACCAGUGUAGACCCUCCUUAAAUGUUUUACAGCACUCUGGCUUUAGCUCAGAGGGAGGUUUGUGAUUGUCCACACGAGGGCGCACUGAUGACCACACUCUUGGGAGAGCCACCAUCUCGGAGAUGUUUAGGGCACUCUCCCCUGUGACUUCACUUGGAAGAACACCUGUCCAGACCAGACCAGCUUUUGAAGAACAUAAACCUCCCGUUUUCUGGUUUAAGUGGUGUCUGGUGUUUGGUCUGGCAGCAGGUCUGGAGAGAGCCCACUCUCAUUUUCUGUUACGGCCUGACCCUAGAUUGGGUCGUAAGAAUGAAUAAAAGGUGUUUUGCUUGGUGAAA